UAGUCAUAUGCUUGUCUCAGAGAUUAAGCCAUGCAUGUCUAAGUACAGACUCUCAUACAGUGAAACCGCGAAUGGCUCAUUAAAUCAGCUAUUGUUCAUUGGAUCGUAAAUACUACAUGGAUAACUGUAGUAAUUCUAGAGCUAAUACAUGCCAAUUAUGCCCUAUGCCGCAAGGCUGUGGGUGGUUUUAUUAGAACAAAGCCAAUGAGUGUGGCCUCGGCCUAUCUCUUCUGGUGAUGACUCUGGAUAACUUUACUGAUCGCAUUCGCAAGAAGGCGACGGAUCCUUCGAAUGGCUGCCCUAUCAAUUGUCGAUGGUAGGCGACCUGCCUACCAUGGUAAUAACGGGUAACGGGGAAUCAGGGUUCGAUUCCGGAGAGGGAGCCUGAGAAACGGCUACCACAUCCAAGGAAGGCAGCAGGCGCGCAAAUUACCCAAUCCCGGCACGGGGAGGUAGUGACGAAAAAUACGGAGACGGGACUCGUUACGGGCCUCCGACAUCCGAAUGAGUACAAUUUAAAUCCUUUAACGAGGAACAACUGGAGGGCAAGUCUGGUGCCAGCAGCCGCGGUAACUCCAGCUCCAGAAGCGUAUAUUAAAGUUGUUGCAGUUAAAAAGCUCGUAGUUGGAUCUGGGUCUCAUGGCUGAUCGCCGUGGUUGGCUUCGCAUUUCGGGUUCUGUACUCCGUGUUCAGUGCUCGUGGUGUUGUCGGCCCGGUGCUUUGGUCGUGUAACCUUUCUGCCGUGUCUGUGUCUUCUUCGGAAGUGCAGGUGUGGCUGGCCGGUCUCCUUUAAGGCUUGGUUGGUUGGCAUGCUUUCAGGUGCACUUCGCUGUGUGCUUGUAGCGGGCGGCAAUUUUACUUUGAACAAAUUUGAGUGCUCAAAGCAGGCCGUAGAGCCUGAAAAGUCUUGCAUGGAAUAAUGAAAUAGGACUUCGGUUCUAUUUUGUUGGUUUUCGGAUCCGAAGUAAUGGUUAAGAGGGACAAACGGGGGCAUUUGUAUGGCGGCGUGAGAGGUGAAAUUCAUGGAUCGUCGCCAGACAAACUACAAGCGAAAGCAUUUGCCAAGGAUGUUUUCAUUGAUCUGGAGCGAAAGUCAGAGGUUCGAAGACGAUCAGAUACCGUCCUAGUUCUGACCAUAAACGAUGCCAACUGACGAUCCGUGGCGUGCCGCUUUUGGCCCCACGGGCAGUCCCCGGGAAACCCUUAAGUCUUUGGGCUCCGGGGGAAGUAUGGUUGCAAAGCUGAAACUUAAAGGAAUUGACGGAAGGGCACCACCAGGAGUGGAGCCUGCGGCUUAAUUCGACUCAACACGGGAAAACUCACCCGGCCCGGACACUGUGAGGAUUGACAGAUUGAAAGCUCUUUCUUGAUUCGGUGGAUGGUGGUGCAUGGCCGUUCUUAGUUGGUGGAGCGAUUUGUCUGGUUAAUUCCGAUAACGAACGAGACUUUAACCUGCUAAAUAGUGUGCUCGUCUUCUGUGCUGCUCGGUGCUCUGGCUGCUUUGACUCGUUAAGGGUUGGAGUGCUUGAGUUUCUGGGUGGUUCGGUGCGAGUCUCACUUCUUAGAGGGACAAACGGUUUGGCAGCCGUACGAAACUGAGCAAUAACAGGUCUGUGAUGCCCUCAGAUGUCCGGGGCCGCACGUGCGCUACAAUGACGGUUACAAUGAGUAUGAGAACCUGGCCCGAGAAGGUUGGGUAAACUGUGUCAUAACCGUCGUGACUGGGAUCGGGGCUUGCAAUUGUUCCCCGUGAACGAGGAAUUCCUGGUAAGUGCAAGUCAUAAGCUUGCGCUGAUUACGUCCCUGCCCUUUGUACACACCGCCCGUCGCUACUACCGAUUGAAUGGUUUAGCAAGGUCUUCGGAUUGCUUCAAUCCGUGGCGUAAGCCAUAAGAUUGAUGGUGAGAAGAUGACCGAACUUGAUCAUUUAGAGGAAGUAAAAGUCGUAACAAGGUUUCCGU
rnacentral:rRNA from 1 species